AGCAGCAUGGCGCAGUGGCAGCGCGCGGGGCCCAUAACCCCGAGGUCACUCGAUCGAAACGAGUUGCUGCUA
rnacentral:tRNA from 2 species